rnacentral:rRNA from 1 species
CCGGCACGGGUGAGUAACACGUAUGCAAUCCACCUGUAACAGGGGAUAACCCGGAGAAAUCCGACUAAUACCCAUAAUAUGGGCGCUCCGCAUGGAGAGCCCAUUAAAGAGAGCAAUUUUGGUUACAGACGAGCAUGCGCUCCAUUAGCCAGUUGGCGGGGUAACGGCCCACCAAAGCGACGAUGGAUAGGGGUUCUGAGAGGAAGGUCCCCCACAUUGGAACUGAGACACGGUCCAA